rnacentral:lncRNA from 1 species
GCUCCCCGACAGGACACAGAGAUCCACUCACCAGUUUCAGAUUGCCCAAACCCAAGAUCGAAGAUGACAGAAGGAGGGCUGCUGCUGUUGGUGUCUCCUCUAUCUCUUUCCCGGCUGGAAAUGAUGCAGACAAUUAUUUGAGGUUUGAAGAGAUACUGUAUAAAUGUAGUGAACUUGGAAAAACCUGAAGUGAUUUCCAGUCCUUUCAGAAACAUAAAAUGAGAAAGACUAGAGAGAAACUGUCAAUAUAAAAAACAUGGGAAAGCCUACUCUGAUCUUAAUGAACAAACUCACCCUGGAGAGAAAAUGUUUCUAGGUCAGCAAGAACAUAAUUUGUCUGCAGGUGGAUAUCAUGAAUUACAGUAAUAAAUCUCUCCAAAAGGUAUAAAUGAUGGAAUGAUUUAUCAGUAACAACAUUAUCAAUGGAAUUUUUGUUCACAGUGAAAUUGUUUGGGGAAGAACAAUUAUUGGAUGUGGUGAGGCAAAUGCCUUUACUCUAUUCCUUGCUGCUGGGAUUGACAUUCUCUUUUCUAAUCAAUAUUGCUUUAACUAAGAAGAUGAAAUAAGGCCAUGAAGGAAAAGAAACAGUUUAAUAAAAAGAGGAAAUUUAUUACUUUCUGAUUCAGAUAGUGUUCUGUUUUAGCAAUUUUAGAGAUGAAUUUCUACAAUGUCUUUUCAUUAACUAUAAGGAACACUGUCUGAGAUUUGAGAUGUGUGUGAACACGUUAAAACACACAGGCUUAUGCACUUGUGACUAUGAUUCCCAGUUGGUCGCCUUGUCUGAUUUUUGC